CGCAUUUGUACUUGCAAGCCGAGGUCUAUCUUGUGGUGCGUGGAAGACCUGGAGCGUGAGCUUUUUCCCUCAUUCCUUUCUCUCUUUCGCGCUUCGGAUGAAGCGCGUUAUAAAAAAUGGCACCCCUGGGCCCCGGCAGGCCUACAUGAACAAAAGAAAGUACGACCCGAACCGUUACAAACAGGAGAAGGAUCGCGUAUCUCGUCAAACAGAGUUUGUAAUGGCGAGCCUGUGCUGCCGGCGGUGCUGUGAGAUUAUUCAAUGGAAGGUCGACUAUGGUAAGUACGCUUCACAAGAGCAAAGCCGCCGUUGCAACUUGUGCCGGGAUAAUAAAGUGAUCCAUGCUUACCACCGCAUCUGCCAACAGUGCGCUGAACGCGAGGCAGUAUGUGCAAAGUGCCAAAAGCACCCAGCAGCAUCAGCCACCAACACCGAGGCUGACGUGCCCAGCGCGGACUCAGAUCAAGAAUCGCCGGAAGGGAGAGUUGAGUACUUAGAGAAACUGAGAGAACCGAGCAAGUACGCUUUUGUUGACGUCGCUCCCGAUGAAGAAGAGCUGCAGCGGCUUACAGGUCUCAAUACUCGCGUUUUGCAACAAAGGCUAAGGAAACGACGAGAGGCCGAAAAUCGUGAAUCCCUAGGUAGCUUGCGCGAGCGUGAAAGGCGAACUGUGCUGCGGAAAGCAACCACCCAAACUGACGCCUCCGACAGUGACGAGAAUUUGUAAUCGUGUAAUCUCAUAAUAUAGCCGCUAGGAACCACAGACGUUCUGAUAACAGCCGGUUAGCUGCGUCCUCGCCAGUUAAAGCGACUGGAAAAAACG
rnacentral:misc_RNA from 1 species